rnacentral:lncRNA from 13 species
GACAAAUGCAAUCAUGCAACUUAGACCAAACAGAAAGCAAAAUAUUGUUUGAGGUAGUGACGCGUUUUGAGUGGAAAACUGAUCAAUCUUUUCACCUAUAACCUUCUAAGCGGCUUCAUCCAAGAAUCCACCCUCUGGAACCCACGGACAAAGCUCGUGCACUAUGUGCACAAAUUCCUCAACAGUUUUAAGUUUAAUGUCAUGACCAUGUGACUUAAUCAUAUGUUGCAAAAGCUGCACAAACAAUUUAUGCUCUUUAGAUUCUAUUUUCCCCAUGUUUUACUCCAGAUGAAAAGAAAAGGUUAUUCACUCACUUACGCUGCAGCUUCACCUCUAUAGUUUGUAGGCGUCACAGUUGUCCCUCAUGUCCAGGACCCACAUUGGGCGCCAGCUGUUGUGAACUGAAUGCGAGCCCGGGAAUCUCGUCCAGCGAGAGGGUCCCAAACCUGGAAGAGAGCGUGCGGGAAAAAAAGGAGAAAGAAAAGAGCGAGGUCUGGAGGACUACAUGAGCUAUGCCCAUGAAGCAAUUUUAUUUUUGCAUGGCCCAUGGACACAGCUCUACAAUCCAGACAGAGAGGGAACUGGCGCCUCUGGGACGUCCAACCAACCAGGAUCCACCAAAGGUGGGAAACUCAAAAGACCCUCCUACUUUACAAAAGCUCCUGAGGGGCCACAACCUAAGGGUCAAGCAGCCCUGCACAGACUUCUGUCUACGAGGGUGGUCUGAAGACCUUAAAGCCUUGAGUUUGGGGUAAGGCAGCUUCAGACCAGGAACACCCUAGACCUUGUCGCAAGUGGACAAAACUCUCUGGAAGAGGAUGCAUCAUGUGGGUAACACCCCUCACGGGCACUGAGGAAGCAGAACUGUCCAGACCCCAGGCACAACCAGUGCCUGAAGAAUAGCUUAGUUUAUAGUGUUAUUGCUCAGCUGUUUCCUUUACAUAAUCCUGCAUAUAUAAUCAUAUAGUAGUUUAUAGAAUUAGUGCUUGACGUGUAGCUUACUGCUUACGUAUAUUGAGUUUAUAUAAUCAUACUUAACACUUAUAUCUAUUUAGCUCUAUAUAAUCUUUCUAUAUAAUCAUAUGGGUAUUGUAGUCGGAGCUGUACUGACACAUUUAGUGUGAUUUAUAGAAUCCUUCCACAUAACCAUAC